AUGGGAAGCCUGCACGAGAAUCCCCAGCAUGGCUUCGGCGGCCUGCUGAGCGGCCUGCAGGAGGCGUACGAGAGCGGCCGGACCAAGGACCUCGCCUGGAGGCGGGCGCAGCUCAAGGGGCUCCUCCGGCUCCUGGCGGAGGAGGAGGAGGACAUCUUCGACGCGCUCCACGACGACCUCGGCAAGCACCGCGCCGAAUCCUACAGGGACGAGGCCCAGGCGCCGCUGGUUUCUUUCCCGGCGACCGCGCUGGUGGUGCCCGAGCCGCUCGGCGUCGUGCUCGUCUUCUCCUGCUGGAAUUUGCCACUAGGUUUGGCUUUGGAGCCAAUCUCUGGCGCACUAGCAGCUGGCAAUGUUGUGGUUGUAAAGCCCUCCGAGCUUGCUCCGUCCACCGCUGCAUUCCUUGCUGCCAAUAUAGCAAGGUACCUCGAUCCUAAGGCUGUGAAGGUCAUCUUAGGUGGACCGGAAGUUGGAGAACAACUCAUGGAACACAGAUGGGACAAAGUUCUUUUCACCGGAAGCGCCAAUGUAGGGCGUCUUAUUUUGACGAAAGCAGCAAAGCACUUGACCCCUGUUGCGCUUGAACUUGGGUCGAAAUGUCCGUGCAUUGUUGAUCAGCUCGAUAGUAAGAGAGAUAGGCAGCGGGAGCGAAAUGGUAAGUAUGUGCCGGCCAAGCAUGUGUUGCCAUUUGACUACAUCCUGGUAGAGGAGAAAUUUGCUCCUAUUCUGAUUGAGCUACUGAAAUCAACGGUCAAGAGAUUUACCACUACACCAGAGUGCAUGGCCAGGAUCUUGAACGCAAAGCACUUCCGGAGGUUAAGCAACUUUUUGGAUGAUGAUAGGGUGGCAUGUUCAGUGGUGCAUGGGGGAUCAGUAAACGAAAAGACCUUGACAAUUGAACCCACCAUACUGUUAAACCCUCCACUCGAUUCUGACAUCAUGACUGAGGAGAUAUUCGGCCCACUGCUCCCUAUCAUCACGGUAAAGAUCGAAGAUACUAUUAAGUUUGUCACAUCAAUGCCAAAACCAUUGGCAAUCUAUGCUUUCACCAAAAACGAGAAGCUAAAACACCGGAUUAUAGAUGAAACAUCAUCUGGAAGUAUCACAUUCAACGACGCAAUUGUGCAGUACGCAGUAGAAGGCCUCCCGUUCGGUGGCGUUGGGCAAAGCGGGUUUGGACAGUACCAUGGCAAAUACAGCUUUGAGCUUUUCAGUAACAAAAAGGCAGUGUUCAAGAGAAGCUUCCUAAUCGAGUUCAUGUUCAGAUACCCGCCAUGGGACGACAGUAAAAUCAGGAUGUUGAGACAUGUUUUCAACACGAACUACAUACUUCUACUCCUUGGACUGCUCGGCCUGAGGAGAUGA
rnacentral:rRNA from 1 species